UACGUAGGGUGCGAGCGUUAAUCGGAAUUACUGGGCGUAAAGUGUGCGCAGGCGGCCGCGCAAGUCGAGUGUGAAAUCCCCGAGCUUAACUUGGGAAUUGCGCUCGAAACUACGUGGCUGGAGUGUGGCAGAGGAAGGUGGAAUUCCACGUGUAGCGGUGAAAUGCGUAGAUAUGUGGAGGAACACCGAUGGCGAAGGCAGCCUUCUGGGCCAACACUGACGCUGAGGAGCGAAAGCCAGGGGAGCAAACGGG
rnacentral:rRNA from 1 species